GCGGACGUGGCGGAACGGUAGACGCGCCGGGCUUAGAACCCGGUUACCCCGACAAAAGGGUUCUGGGGGUUCAAAUCCCUCCGUCCGCA
rnacentral:tRNA from 1 species